UUUUAGAUAAAUUCUGCUCAAUGAGUAAAUUAAAUAGCUGCAGUAAAUUAACUGUACUAAGGUAGCAUAAUAAGUUGCUUUAUAAUUAAAAGCUUGAAUGAAAGAAAUAAUGUGAAACAAGCUUUUUAAACUAAAGUAGUAAAAAUUAAUAUUUAAGUGAAAAAUCUUAAAUAAAAUCAAAAGACAAGAAGACCCUUUAGAACUUUACAAAUUAACUUAAUUUCAUUUGGUUAAUUUGUUAGAUUGGGGAGAUUUUUAAAUAAAUAAAUCUUUAGAUAUAAAAAAAUGAUUUAAAUCAAAUUAAAUUAUCCAAAUAUGAAAUAAAACAAGUUACCUAAGGGAUAACAGCGCAAAAUUUUUGAGAAGUUCUCAUUUACAAAAUAAAUUGCGACCUCGAUGUUGGAUUAAGAA
rnacentral:rRNA from 1 species